rnacentral:rRNA from 1 species
GUUUCCGUAGGUGAACCUGCGGAGGGAUCAUUG